rnacentral:rRNA from 1 species
UACGAAGGGAGCUAGCGUUGUUCGGAAUCACUGGGCGUAAAGCGCGCGUAGGCGGGGGAUUAAGUGAGAAGUGAAAGGCUGAGGCUCAACCUCAUGCAGUGCUUCUCAUACUGGUCCUCUUGAGGGUGGUAGAGAGAAGUGGAAUGGCUGGUGUAGCGGUGAAAUGCGUAGAUAUCAGGAGGAACGCCGGUGGCGAAGGCGGUUCUCUGGGCCUUACCUGACGCUGAGGAGCGAAAGCAUGGGGAGCAAACAGG